GAUGAACGCUGGCGGCGUGCCUAAUACAUGCAAGUCGAGCGAACAGACGAGGAGCUUGCUCCUCUGACGUUAGCGGCGGACGGGUGAGUAACACGUGGAUAACCUACCUAUAAGACUGGGAUAACUUCGGGAAACCGGAGCUAAUACCGGAUAAUAUAUUGAACCGCAUGGUUCAAUAGUGAAAGACGGUUUUGCUGUCACCUAUAGAUGGAUCCGCGCCGCAUUAGCUAGUUGGUAAGGUAACGGCUUACCAAGGCAACGAUGCGUAGCCGACCUGAGAGGGUGAUCGGCAACACUGGAACUGAGACACGGUCCAGACUCCUACGGGAGGCAGCAGUAGGGAAUCUUCCGCAAUGGGCGAAAGCCUGACGGAGCAACGCCGCGUGAGUGAUGAAGGUCUUCGGAUCGUAAAACUCUGUUAUUAGGGAAGAACAAAUGUGUAAGUAACUAUGCACGUCUUGACGGUACCUAAUCAGAAAGCCACGGCUAACUACGUG
rnacentral:rRNA from 1 species